CAGAACUUAGGUUAAAGUUCAGGGCUCUGUUUGAUCAGAGUCCAGAACUCACACUUUGGAUGACUGAGACAUCUGAUGACAAGAUGUGCGUGAAUGAAAACUUGAAAGUCACAUUUUCACAUCGUGAACUGUACGUAUGCCCAUGGAUUUUUCCUUUCCUUCAGGGUGUUCUUUAUCAGCGAGAUAAACGUAAAGCUACAGGGACUGCCGCCUUUAUUUUAUACCCAGAAAUACACAGAAAGCAACAAUACAAAGUUCUCCUGGAUGACCAAGAUGCCUUAGCCGUGACUUGAGCUGUUGACAGCAGAAAAGACUUGAUGAAAGGCGAUCCAAACGAGAGCUGGCUUGCGUGCGCGGGUCCUUCACUCGUGAGUGCCAACUCGUGAGGGAGUUCAUUUACCAGUGACAAGUUUUGACCGUGGACACAUCCCGACGUACGUUGUGCAAGAGGCAAGAAAUCUGUGUAAACAGAUGAACGCGACUUUCUGAUUCACGGCAGUUGCGGAGUUAUCAAUGUAAGAGGCGAACGUUUCACAUUUUCCACCCGUUUUCCAUAUGCCUGAUGACAUAAUGGCUUCACCAGAAGCUGCAACGCAUUGGAGGAAGGAUUUAUCACAGCUGCAUUUAUUUUUCCUCUACUUCAUGGCUUCAGCAUUCGUGGAGGGAUUGGCUUGAAGAGGAGCGUUCACUUGCCUUUCCGUCUGUAGUCCAGUAUUACUAUUGAAUCUCCUGUUCCGACGCAGAGGAAAAAAAGGAUGUUUAAAAAAUAAGAAGGCAGAAUAGGGAGAGAAGCCCUCAGAUAAAUCAGGCAUGCUGCUGGGAGGUGGCUGUGAACCCGUCCCCAGCAGGAACUGAGCUCGGCGGGGAUUAGGAGCAAAAUGCCUUGAACCAGCUGCCUGCAGGAGUCGGAGGAGCCUGGGAUGUCCCUGAUAAGUAAGGGAUUACUCAGUUUCUGCAGGAGAGACUUCUAAUCUGCCAAGGACCACGUCCUUGGUUGAGAAUAGUGGUGCUUCACCAGUGGAAAAAGCGUCUGCCACCGAGCAGCCUGGUUCACUGUAACAGUAUGUGAGAAGCUUUCAAAAUAAAGCACCCCUGAAAAGGCAGCAGAUGUGAAUCCAAGCAGCUGGGAUAUCUGUAGGGUGGCACAGGGCUUACUGCUGAACCACAGCUUUCUGAGAGCAGCUGUGCUGCCGUGGGCACCUAGCAUGGCAAUAACCACAUAUGUUGGGGUACCUUUACCAUCUGAAGCGCUGUCUCAGCCCCUGUUCCUCUGUGCUGAUGGUCACUUACUCACAGGGAGCCCCUUUUUAAAGGUGCUGUAUUCGUCUGUAGUCCUCAGAGGCCCAGAAACACUGUAAUUGCUGGGUUGUAUUUAUCUGCAGCCUGUGCAGCGUGUGGCGAUUGACCUGAUAAGUAACAAAGUCCUGGCAUUUCUUCCUUCCUAAACGAUCCUGUGAGCAUUUAGUGCUGACCAGUACAAAGAGGGCAGGGAAUAACAGACUAGCCUAUGGGGCCAGAGACAGCAUAUUAGCAAACACCUGUUUGUAUCUGCCCUCCAGUGAUGAAAUCGUAAGCCCCGGGUUGCCAGAGCUUCCGCCUGUGUGUCCCUCUCUCCCCAGCGGAUCAUCAGAUAAACCUGUCAGCACCAGCAGGGCAUGUGACAGAUGGUGUGAGUUCCUUUUAAACAGCUGAACUCCUGUACCAAGGGGUAAUCUACAGCUCGGGGGAGUGGCGAGUAUGACGGAUAUAAAUAUGCCAUCACGAGUUUGUGGCAUAACUAGGAUGAAUGAAUGAGGCAAAAGUAAGUAUUCAUAUGUGGCUUCCAAACUCUGGCCCUGUUAAACCCUCUUAAAUGUGAGUCCCAUUCGUCACUGGCGAUACUGUGAGACUGUAGACAAAAACAUUAUUCGUUCACUGAAAUAAAUGGAUAUACCUCAGACUGUUACUCGCCAGUCUUAAAGGCUCGAUAGAAUGAAUCCUCUUGAUAGAACAAAUGAAGAUAUAUUCUAGAAAAGAGGCUGUGUUUAAAAAUCCCUGCCGGACCCUACAGAAACAAGAGGGCUGUCAAAAUGAAGGGUGAGUUCUGUCUCUAUGCUGACAAUUACCUGCAGAGCAUCAGCACUUUAGGGUUCGUACAAAAGCUGCUGUUUGUGAGCCUGUGCCAGCACAACGGUAGGAUGACUUCUCACCCCACACAGCUUGCUUUGUUCCCCUUCAUUUGCCACUUGGGUUUCUGCAAUCUCAACUCAGUAGGUGCUCAGGAAAAUGUGAGCGUCAAGACUUCAAUUGUAUGAAGGUAUUCCUUUGUAUUGUGCAGGUUCCUCUGCCAUCACGCAGGCUGGGUAUCCCAAUAGCUAGCACUCAGUAUUAAGGGAGCCUGGCUUCACAAGCACGUAAGAACAAAAAUAAAAACCAGGGAAAACAACCCAGCUCCUAAAGCGAGUUAUAUGGUUCUGUAAAAUACAUCUUGCACGAUGGUACUUCAAAAAGAAGAAGGAAAAUAUGUUAACGAGAAGAUUGCCCUCUAAUUUUAGCUUAGCCUUGGGUGAAUGUAUUUCAGCUAAGACUUUCCAAAGCACUUAAGAGCUCCUACAGGUUCUGUAAGAGCACAUCCCUCUACGCCUGAGGCUGUUGCUUGUUGCUCACCUAUUGCUCCUGUUCACCUGCACUUCACAACAUGAAAAUGAAACAGCUGCUGAACGUUUUAUCAGACCUGCUAGACAAAAGGCAAAUGAAUCCUCCACAUCUUCAAACGCUGGUGCCAGAGACCUCACCUGAAACGUUGCUCUGUCUGAAUUGCAGAUCUUUGAUCCUGAGGAUCUGUUUGUCUCAGCUGGAGCAAAACCUGGGGGAAGGUUGCUUGGCUUUGCUAUUCAGGCUUCUAGUUUUGCGGGUCAAAGUUGCCUGCGUGGUGUUUCCUACCCAUCAGGAAGGAGAGAAGCUAUCACACGGUUCAUCUUUGGCACCCAGACCCUGCAGCCAAAUUCUUGGGCCGAGAAGUGGUGGUGGCCUGAAGCUGCAGAGGAACAUGGCAGAGUCCUUAUGGAGCACAGCACUGUGGGAUAAGCUUCAUUUGCUGCCUACAGUUCUCCACAGGAUGCGAGUCCUCCAGGAAACCAGAUGGAGGUAAACCAUACUAUUCCAACACAUUUCUCUUGGUGUAGCUGUGUCCACACAGGGAAGGCAAUGGCUUAGCUAGAUACAAGCAGCUUGUAGACACCAAGAAGCUCCAAGUUUCUCGUUGGCAUUUUAACUUUACCAGGGCAGAGUUCAAAGGUAUUUGGAAGGCUCAGAUGAUGUGGCUUCUGUUGUCUACUUUGCUGAGAGUCUGCCAGGUGCAAGCGACGUGGUGGGCACCCAUCUUUUCCAAUAAAGGAGGACUUACAGUGGGAGAACUGAAAAGGAGGAAGCAAACUCUGGUGUCAGCUACCAACAGCUGGAUUUGCAGUUUCUUGCCCUGGCUUUGUAUUUGAGCAUACAUCAUGUCUCCUGGAAAUAAGCUGGAAGAAUGUGACUAUAUUGUGCCUCCAUGCUGAUGAAGAUGCAUGGGGGAUAGGACAGCACAUGGUGAAUAUCGCUGUGCAGGGAAGAUAAAUUAGCCCAUGCCACUGUCUCCAUCCCUGGCAGAAUUUCUUUAGUGAGCCAGAUGGCUGAGCUGCUUGGGGACAAGAUUUAAGCAGUGUUUCUCAGUUCUGUGAGAUUCAGAGGUGAUUGCAGGCUUCACUCACACAGUGGUACCCACUUGUUAAAGUAACCCAUGGGUUCCAAAACUCAACACCAGACAAACAGUGCUGUCUGUGAGGGAGUAGGUGGUCCAUGGUGAAUCUGAUGUAGGCUAUGACAAUAAUUAAUGUCCUGUGAAGCUGUAUCUCUCUGGUGCUUAUUUUAAGUCAUGCUGGAGUCGGAGAAGGAUGUGCGAGGUGCUGUUGUCUCCCAAGCACCCUCUCAUGUCCUCCUGGCCCAUGCUGCCCUUUUGAGAAAUGCCCUAAGUGGAUCACUCCAAAGCUAUUUGGAACAUAAGAUUAACAGAGGGGUUAUACUUCACCCUUUGGGGUCAAUCUCUGUUCAUUUGGGGACAGCAACCCUAAAAUUUUCACAAGAAGCUUUGUAUUCAAUCAUGGAUGCUAAAGGCUUACACUGUCUGCUCUUCUAGAUGGUCCAAAUCUGUUUUCAAAUGGUAAUAGAAGGCCUACAAUCCUUAUUUGUUUGACAUACAUGAAUGUUUUGCUAUUCACAUCUAUGCAAAUGUUAUUUUUAUGUACAGAGGUUACUUACUGUGGACACUGGGAAAGCCAGGACACUGAAAAGAAGGUCUCUGCUGGAAAUUACGCACUUAGCACAUCGCAGUUCCUUAAUUAGCCUCAAGACAUCAGCCAGGAAGGACACCCCAUAGAAGACAGCCUGCAAAAACUAAAGUAAUUACAUCUAAUGAGGGAAACUCAUCCAGCUUUAAUUAGCAUGUUCCUUACUGAACUCCAUUCUUGCUCUUCAGGGAGCUGUUUUGUUCAUGAGCUGCAAGCCCGCGUGAGGGAAAUAGCUGUGGGCUAAAUCUUUUUUACUAACUGAAAGUGAUUAAAUAAAGUAGUUUGGGAGAUAACUUUAACGGUAUCUCGUUUAACAGACUAAACAGAGAUGUGUCAUGUGAUUCAGAUCCAGGAGUGGAAGGACAUGUUGAAAGCAGCUCCAUCGCGCCUUAUAUGUUAAUUGUUAUGUUCAGUGUAUCCAAGGAGGAACAGAAGUGAACAAAAUUUGGAAUAUGCCAGGAGAUGUUUCCUGUAAGGGAACUGCUUGAUAGUUUCUCCCAUGGUUUAGUCAAUGCUGGCUCUUCUCUCUGGGUACUCGUAGUGCAACUGACCCCAGGGCCGUAGGAGCCAAGGAGUUCAGGAUGCUCCAGUACGAAAACCAGCUGCGGAAGUCACCAAACCAGAAUCUCUGUUGCUUAACUCAGGGGGAUUCAGGGAAGGAUUUCAAGUGGUUGGAAGCAGAGAUCCAGACUUUACUAACUAACACUGAGUACAUUCGAACAUUUCUAACUAAUAAAUUUUGGAGCGCAUAUGGGAUUUUUCUUAUAAAUCAUAUGCAAGUUAUGAGUGUAGGGCUGCUUAGAGAAGAUGGUAGGAGGAUUUUGUAAACGAUCAGGUAAGUGCAAUGUGGCAAAACAGAAUUCUGCAAAUUGCGUGUGAAAUUGUGUGUGAAAUUGUGUAUGAAAUUGUCAGAAUGUCGUGGUUUAAGCCAAUACUGCUUUUUCUGAUUACUUUGUUUUCUCUCACAGUGCUACACAGCAACUCAUGCUGAACCAGAUGUGUCAGACACACAAAGCCUAGCAGAAAAAAAUCUUCUGCUAUCUUGCAUUCAGACAGCUGAGUCUAGUUUGGUUCUGUUAAUUCACGGGGUGGCCUCUUCUUUAAGGCUAGUGUGGACCAAAGUGAUGCAACAUGGGGAAAUCAGCCUUCAGCAAAUUCUGGACCAGCUGCUGAUGCUCAAAUGCUGUGUUACAGCUUUCAGGAUGAGAUCUCUUUUGCCAUGAUCUUAUUCUGAAUCAAUGUUUAUUUCGAGAAAAGUAUCUGAAGUUGUUGCUGAUUACUUCAUUAGUUUGUGAAGGAGCCGAGAAGGGUGGUGCUUGGGAGGGGACAGAAUUAAUGCAACACUUCUCCUUCCAGAAUCCCUGUUAUGAAAAGGAUCGAGGGAAGGAAGAACUGAUUUCACCAUACCCACCUUCACACUAGUACUUCUGCAAGCUUUGAUAGAACAUUUUAGAGUCCAAGGUGACUUGCAUGCAGCCACUCAGGAUGAGGUCACACAUCAUCUGGUUCAGCUGCAAAACCUCACGUCUCUUCUAUAGAGCAUGAGGUGAACAGCUGCAUUUUUUGUAUAAAAAUACACACGUGGUUUUGUUCAACCCCAAGGUGUCUAAACCAGCUCUUUAAAUGUGGUUCCCAGCACAAAUUCAUAGAAUUGUAGAAUGGCUUGGGUAGGAAGGGACCUCAGAGAUCAUCCAGUUCCAAUCCCCUGCCACAGAGAGGAUUUCCACACAGUGCCAGCCAGGGUCCCAUGUGACCUGGCCUUAAAUGCCUCCAGGGAUGGAGCAUCCACAGCUUCUUUGGGCAUGAAUCUGAAUCCACUUGGGGAUUCAGCCCUCCAAAUCAUGGUUUUGGUUCAUAGAAGUAUGUGUCAAGGUAUAGUGUGCUUAGAGCCACACACACACUCAACCCAAACACGUCCGAGUGCUUGGCCUCACCAAAACCAAGACCAACCACUUCAAGAGCUAAGAAAAGCCUGGUAAUAAACAGAAGCUCUUGUUACACCCUGUAGAGCCAGCAGUAACUUUCUGUAAAAAGCCCGAAAAAUGAGCAUGAGGGUGGUGACAAUCUGGUGACACAUAGUGACUAAUGACCAAUAAAGGAGCUAGGGAAAGGCAUGGUUCCCAGAGGAUGGGGCUAUUAUUAUCCCGUUCGUGUUCAGCCUUAUAUUAGUCAUGGGACAGAGAUAGGCUUCUCCCUCCCCAUGACCCUUCAAAGUUAAUUAAAAUAAACGUAUCUGAAAAGAAACACAGAGUUCCAAAACAGCCAUGUCAGUCUGUUAAAUAUUCUGUCUUAUUUAGGGGAGAAGAAUGUUAUCUUGUGAAUGGAAAGUACUCAUCCAAAUAUGUAACCCAAUCCAUUUCUCUAGCUGAGCACUAAGAGCAUCUCCUGGAGAAGCCUGAAUUCUGUCUCAGCAGCUCAUUCUAUGUACUGCUCAUAGCUCAACCCACGUCCGUCAGUGUGGAUUCAGAGUUUUCAGUCACUUUGUGAUCACCCUGUAUUUUCAGAAGCAAUGAAAAGACAUGCAAAUAAUUUUCAGAGCAGAAAACUGAACCUAGCAAGAACCAUCUCUCUGACAGGAUGGGCCAAUGGUGACUUAAAGCAGAGCUCCCAUCUUGCAGUCUUCCAAACUUGCUCUUAUUCCUGUAAGAAAAAGGUGCAUCCAAAUCUUACAGCCCUUCACUAAUGGACUAGAUGACCUUUAAAGAUCCCUUCCAGCUCAAAUGAUUCUAUGAAUGUUGAGAAAUGUUGGGAAAAUGUUGAGAUUUAAAGAAAAAAGAGAGAAAAAAAUUGACAUGAAAGUGUGAAAUUAUUCUAGAUGCGCUGUCAAUUUCCCAAAGAUUGGAAGCAUUCAGAAAGCUAACAACUAACCCAAGGGGGAGAGUACGGAUAUGACAAUCCCUUUUGGAGAGAUGUUGCUUUCCUUUGCAGACCCUGCACAACUCCAUGGUGCUAGGUGCUGUAGAAACCCUUCAUUUGCCAGAUCAGUUUUCCAAACUAAGAGUCACUGUGACAAAGGAAAACCAUAACUUCUAUCUGCUUCACUGAUCAAAGGGGUGUUUCUGUUUAACUGACCUGGCACGAUUCACUUUCACAUGUAAGAUCAGCUGUAUGUACAUACUGAAUUCUCAAACUUGUAGAAAUAAACUGGGCAUCACACUGUGCCCUGAAGGGGAAACAAAUCUAAUAAUUUGGAGUGACCUAUUUGAUAUAAUAGUCAACAUUUAGUGCAGACAUGUGCCUUCACAUAUCUGAAAAAUAGGUGUACUAAAUGCAAGGUCUAUUUGGAAAUAUGUAAAAAAAAGCUUUCAGAAGAACUGAAAAUACCUCAAUUAGUUGAGGCAAAAGCAUAAGGAUAAAAUGGGGCAGGAAUGCAAUUAAUAGUUUUUAAAGGUGCGGUGUGCUCAUUGCUCAGUGAUUUACUAAUAGAUUUAUGGCAGAGAGCAGACUUUCAUGAGCUCAGCUAUUUCAGGCAGUGAAUGAUUCUGUUUGUAUUCUUUUGUAUCACAGGCAAAUAAAUACAGAACUGCUUUUAUCUAAUAUUUCUGCUUGUUCACUGGUCAGUCAAUUAACUCCUUUAGUGCAAAAUCCACUUUCCUUUUUUUUUUUUUUUACUAUUACAAAAAUAUUGUUUCCUUUCUGUAUCUCUAUGGCUAUGAUCACCAGGUAGAUAAAAGACAGUGAAGGAACGUGAGAGCUGCAGCCCUCCUGGGAGCACCGUGUGUCUGGCAAUGCACUGUGCACAGUGCUUGAAGAGGCCUGUAUCUAGAAGAAAAUC
rnacentral:lncRNA from 1 species